UGUGUGUUCAGGGCCUGCACAGCAGCAGGAGGACCUUCCUUGAGAUGGACAUUCUGCAUCGAAUGGGGGAUUAGGGCCCCUCGCCGGGGCAGCGAAUUCUCACGCCGCUUUUCCACAACCUGUUAAUCCCUUGCGUCUGGCUCUUUAUCUUGAGUGGGGAUUUGUGUCAGAUUGUGGUAAAUAGUCCAAUGGUGUGAAGGCAAGCCAGGAAUUAUGGAAGGUGUCUCUAAGCCUGUAAAUCAUGAGGCAAAAAAGUCACAGGCUCGUGCAUUUCGAGGAGAGAACAAAGUUGUCAGAGUGGUGAGCAGUCAGAAGCACAAACACAGAGCUGAAAGUAAAGCAACCAGAGAUUUAGGUGAAAACUCUCAAAGCAAUGGCAAGAAAGGGAAGCAAGAAGAGCCAUCUGGUAGAGUUUUGGGAGAUUCAAAAACAAGUAAAGAAAACUCAAAUAAUUUCUCUUCUGGAUCGACAGGCAUUGGUCCAAAUGUUUUCGAACCAAGUCACUCAAGAGCUAAGAAAUCAUCUCAUUUGCCAGCUGGGAUAUUGAAACAACCACAAACUGUCAAGGCAGAAAAAAUAGUUUCAAAGUCAAAGGAGGAGUAUGAAAGCAUUGAAAAACAGAGUCUUGUUCAACCCCAAGGGCCUACAGAAAACUGCCGGGAACCAAAGCAAGAAAAUCAAGAAUCAAAACAAGAAUUGGGUGCUGAACAAAAGCCUUCCGCUACAGAUGGUGCAUUGAACACCAGCUCUCAUUUAGAAUCUGUUCAUUUCGACACAGGAAUGGCAACAGAAGAGUUAACUGUAGCAGACCAGGAACUUGGCCUGAAGCAGGCAGAAGAGAGGUUGGAGCGUGAUUACAUAUAUCGGCUAGAGAAGAGAUCUCCUGACUACUCCAACUGCCAGUAUCUAUGUAAACUCUGCACAGUACACAUCGAGAACAUCCAAGGAGCUCACAAGCAUAUUAAGGAGAAACGGCACAAAAAGAAUAUUCUGGAGAAACAGGAAGAGAAUGAGCUGCGUGCUCUUCCACCACCAACUCCUGCCCAAAUAUCUGCUUUGGGACUGGCCCUGAUGGAUGCAGCAAAAGAAAAUGGGGUUUCGCAGGAGGACUUCUUGUUACGGCAAGAAAUCGUUAAAUCCAUGGAAACGAUUAUUCAAAUUAAAUUACCUGAGUGCUCCCUCAAAAUGUAUGGAUCUUCUUUAACUAGAUUUGCAUUUAAAUCAAGCGACAUUAAUAUAGAUGUUAAGUUUCCCAGGAAGAUGAACCAACCAGAUGUAUUAAUUCAAGUACUUGACAUUUUAAAAAACUGUGUUUGCUAUACAGAGGUAGAGUCUGAUUUCCAUGCAAAGGUUCCUGUUGUGUUUUGCAAGGACAAAAAAAGUGGGUUGACCUGUAAAGUGAGUGCUGGAAAUGACACAGCGUGCCUUACCACUGAAUUCCUAGAAGCUAUAGGCAAACUGGAGCCUGUUCUCAUCCCACUUGUUUUGGCAUUUCGCUACUGGGCCAGGCUUUGUCACAUAGACUGCCAAGCAGAAGGUGGACUCCCAUCUUAUUGUUUUGCCUUAAUGGUGGUGUUUUACCUGCAGAAAAGACAGCCACCAAUCCUACCAGCAUAUAUUGGCCCUUGGAUAGAUGGUUUUGAGUCAAAGAAGAUGGAUGAAUACAAUCUUAAAAGUGUUUCUGAGGAAUGCUACCUUGAUUGGGAAUACAGACCAUCUUGCAACAACGAGAACAAAGGCUUAUUAGCCACAGGCGGGAGAGGUAGAAAUGAGCAGAACUUAAGAAAGACAACUGUGUCUGAAUUGCAGAGUAAGAAGAACAAGGAAAGGCAAGGAAGAAGCUCUUUGGUAUUUGACAACCCUCCCAAGGAAUCACUGGGGCAUCUGUGGCUGGAGCUUUUGAAGUUUUACACACUGGAAUUUGCAAUGGAAGAACAUGUGAUCAGUGUGCGGAUGCAAGGCCUACUAACCAGGGACAACAAGAACUGGCCGAGAAGGAGGAUAGCAAUUGAAGAUCCCUUUGCACUAAAGAGGAAUGUUGCAAGAAGCCUCAACAGCCAUUUGGUGUACGAGUAUCUUUUGGAAAGGUUCCGAGCAGCCUACAAAUACUUUGCCUGCCCACAGUGUAAGGAACAAAAGAAAUCUAAAACCGAUGCUAGGAAAAGGGCAAAGUGUAUUAACAAAUCAUUAUCCAAGCCUGAAGAUGAUGAGGAUAAUGGCAUCCUCCCAGAUGCUGGAACAUGUAGGACAGAUGAAACAGAGCUAAAAGAAAGCAUACCUACUGUUGAAGUCCUAGAAAUUGAUGAGCAGUUGCCUCCUUCCCAAGCCGAGGAUGUUAGAACCAUAGAAAUUCCUGCUGUGGACAUUGACAAAUCAAACCCUUUAACAGAAUUCAUUGAAUUGGAAUUACAGUCUGUGGAUGAAAGUCACCAUGCUUUAGAACUUUUGAGAAGUGAAGAGAACACAAACUUUAAUGGCAAGGACUAUUUAACUAUAAAAGAACUAUCUGAUACUACUGAAGAACGGUGUAAUGCAGAAGCAACUCAGCUUCUGGAAAACUGGUCUAGCAAUUGCACUUUUGCUACCUCACUUGAUCAUGAAGCUUUGAAGCAUGGAGGAAGCCUCAGUGAGGAAGAUUUACAUUAUGUCUUUGACAAGUUUAUAUUGACUUCUGGGAAGCCUCCUACAAUAGUGUGCAGUAUCUGCAAGCGUGAUGGGCACACCAAAGAUGACUGUCCUGAGGACUUCAAGAAAAUAGACUUGAAGCCUCUACCACCUAUGACUAUCAGGUUCCGAGAGAUUCUUGAUAGAGUGUGCAAGAGAUGCUUUGAUGAGUUAUCCCCUAAUGCUUGUGAGCAACAAAACCGGGAGCAGAUCCUGACAUACCUUGAACGGUUUAUCCGGAAGGAGUUUAAUAACUAUGCCAGGCUGUGCUUGUUUGGCUCAUCCAAGAAUGGUUUUGGGUUCCGUGAUAGUGACCUAGAUAUCUGUAUGACCCUGGAGGGUCAAGAAAAUGCAAAGAAACUAAACUGCAAAGAAAUUAUUGACGGUUUGGCAAAGGUUCUUAAGAGGCACCCAGGUUUAAAAAACAUUUUGGCAAUAACCACUGCCAAAGUGCCAAUAGUGAAGUUUGAGCAUAAAGAGAGUGGUGUAGAAGGAGACAUAAGCUUGUACAACACUCUGGCUCAGCACAACACCAGAAUGUUGGCUACAUAUGCUGCCAUCGACCCCAGGGUAAAAUACCUUGGAUACACAGUGAAGUUUUUUGCCAAGCGCUGUGACAUUGGUGAUGCUUCAAGAGGGAGCCUAUCAUCAUAUGCUUACAUUUUGAUGGUGCUGUACUUCUUGCAGCAGAGAAAUCCUCCUGUAAUCCCAGUGCUUCAAGAGAUAUAUGAUGGGCAAGAAACCCCACAAAGAAUGGUAGAUGGCUGGAAUGCCUUUUUCUUUGACAAGACCGAAGUCUUGAGAAACCGUUUCCCUUCACUUGGCAAAAAUAAAGAAUCCGUUGGGGAACUAUGGCUUGGGUUCCUUAGAUUCUACACUGAAGAGUUUGAUUUUAAGGAAUAUGUCAUCAGUAUUCGCCAGAAAAAGUUGCUAACUACAUUUGAAAAGCAGUGGACCUCUAAGUGUAUUGCCAUUGAAGACCCGUUUGACCUCAGUCAUAAUCUUGGAGCUGGAGUCUCCAGAAAAAUGACAAAUUUUAUUAUGAAGGCAUUUAUUAAUGGAAGGAAACUCUUUGGAAUGCCAGUCUACCCCAUCCCUGGUCUUGAAGGAGAAUACUUCUUUGAUUCCAAAGUACUGACCGAUGGGGAGUUGGCUCCCAAUGACAGGUGCUGCCGUGUAUGUGGGAAGAUUGGUCACUACAUGAAAGACUGUCCAAAGCGCAGAAGAAUAAAAAAGAAAGAGAAUGAAAAAGAUGAUGAUAAGGACAUAAAGGAAGAUGAGCGAGACCUCAGAGAGAAGAGAUGUUUUACAUGUGGUGAUGUGGGACAUGUACGAAGAGACUGUCCUGAAAACAACUUGGUCCGUCAGAAGAAUGGUGGAAUUAUAGCCCCUCAGAUCUUACAAGGCCUGAUCCUCCCACAGUCGGUUCUGACACCACUUCAACAGAUUGAACGUCCAUGUCGGACCCGACAGGCCUCUGAAUCAUCAGAAUCCCAUCAUUCAUCAUACUCUCCACAGCCUUUACAACCAAAUUCUGUCAACCAGACACAGCCCUUGCAGACUAAGCUUGACCAACAGCAAACUCCUGCAGCACAGAAUCCUCACCAGGUUCAGCGACCCUUGUUUAACUUUGCACAGUCUCCCCCCACACGCUUUUCCCCUCUGCACAAUCUUGGGAUUUUCCCCUUUCCCCCACAAAUACCUCUCCCCAGCAGCUCAUGGCCCAUCCCUGCCCAGAUGCUGCUCUCAUCCUCUGGAAACCCCUCUCAUCCUGGUGGUGUUACCUUCCCAGUCAGGUCUGGCAGCAGCAGCCCAUCCACUACUAAUCAAAGUGCUGUUAACUUGAAUGAUCCAAGUAUCAUCUUUGCUCAGCCUGCUGUCAGAUCCCUGGGAGUCCCAAAUUCCACUCACGAUGGUCCCUGGCACAGCUCCCAAACUCCCAGCUCUCUCAAUGGCACAGUGGGUGGAACAGAUCAAGGAUUCCAAGGACAUUUUGCUAAGCCAUCCACUCCUUGGGAGCACACCACCACCACAGCCCACUUCCCCCUGCUCCCCCCAUCAUGGCCUUACAGGUUGCCCCAGAACUUACUGCCACAGGGACCUGCCAGCUUUCAUUCCAAGACAUAUUACCCUCCAGCUGCCUCACUGAUCCAGAAUGGACCCCAAUUCCCUGUCUUAUCUCAAGGGCAUCCCCACCUAAAUUCAAAUUACAUACAGCAGAAGAAAUGAAUCAAUGUCAUUACAAUAUGUCGGCCUUUACAGGAUCUAUUUUUAAAUCAAUGUGUUUGACUAUUAGAUUAUUUAACCCUUUUACUGCCAAGGAACCUGCUGAAACAUUAGGUCUAGGAAAGAAUCUGCACUGAUCGCCUCUGAAGGAGCAUGUUCCAAGCAAGGAUCCAUAGAGACAACAUGGGAAACAAAGCAGAAAUCGACGGAGAUCAGAGGCGUGGCAGAACAGGAGGGAGCAUUGGCUUAAGGGGAUGGAUACAGGGCAACAGAAAAUCUUGAGAGAGCGGGGUCAAGAUGUGUAUGUAAGUAGAAACCAGAAGUGCAUGAGAUGUAUUACCAGUGGCAAUGCGAUAUCGGCAUUUGUUCUUCCAAGGGAUGUUAACAUACGGGACCUGGUGGUGAAUAACUACCCUUGUUACAGAGAAGCUGCUGGGAGAUUUUCUGAUACUACAACAGACUGAGAUUAUCUUCAUAGUGACUGUGCAAGUUUAAUGGACAUUGGUGUGUAUUAACCCCCGACUGACUAAUAAAUGAGGAAUAAUUGAGGUA